UUUCAAACCAUUUUUGCUCGGGACAGGACUGGCACGGUACCAGUGAACACCUCAAUGCCACUCCCUCCUCUUCUGUUGUCUAUCCCUGGAGACCUCCUCAGAUGGAAGAGACAAAUGCAGUGAAGUCAACCUGUUUAAGAUGGUGAGACUGAAAAUAAAAAUAACUACUGCUUGUUAGGAUUACUAGGAUGAAGGGGCUUCCGAACAAUUUUUGAGGGUGCUGACAACCUAUUGUGGAAGGAGUCAUGAAGACAGUUCACUGAAUGGAUCUGGAACCGAGGCUUUGGAAUGUAACUUUUCCUGGUGGAGAAGACUGGACUUACGGGAACUGGCCUUGAUAUGUGAUGGCCCCCAGGAACCUCCCAGCUGUCUUCAGGUGUGGUACUUGACAUAUUUUUAUCGAUGAUCUUCUCCUGUUGAGUGGUUUCAGGAUUGCUGAGCUAGGUUUGUUGAUUUGCUAAUUAAGGCCUUUGUCUAUGGCUCCAGGUGCUGGAGUCUGAUGAAAACACCCCUUUCCUGGCAGUGGCUAAAAUGUUCCCUUAUUUUAUUUCUUUAUUUUAUACAACCUUCUUAUACCAUAUAAGCACAAAUAUCACACAGUUAUGUAAAGGUAUCUUAGAUACUAAUCUUGUGCCCCUUUCCUCCCUUCCACCAAAUUUCUAGCUGCACCAUCCCCCAUCACCAAAGCACUUGCAGCCCAUCUCCUCCUGCUGUGGGACCAGGAAGGGCAGGAGCAGACUUGGGGCACUGGUGCAUAUGGAGGAAGAACAUCAAGUAUUUCUUCCCAUCACCAGUCCUUAUAUUACUAUAUUCAAGUAAGAACAACCUUGAGUUGGGGGUGGGGGUCCUGUAACUUGCCAUCCCCCUAUGUCAAAACUCUUGACUGUAAAGCUCUGGCACGAGUACCUUGCCUCCUGCUACUCUUUCAAGUAUUACUCCAUGCUACUGCAACUUUACUGAGCUAAGAGGGAAAAGGAAAGCAUGAAUACCAGGACCCAAGCAAAAAGUCCAAACCUGUCGUCCUCACAAGGCACCAUAAUCCUGGAACAUUGUCAAAAUGCUGUGGAUUCAUGCCUAGCAAAUUAGCCUGACAUCCACAUGAUGACUGGACUGGGGCUGUACCUCCCCAUUUUUGGUCCCCCACCAAAAUUCUCUUUUCCUAAUUCCCAAACCACUGUUCCCAUCUAAUCAGGCAGUAUUCAGCCUAGGCACACUAUUCCUAGUGAAUGCAAUAUGCUAUGCAAUAACAUUCUCAGAGGCAGAUGGGGUUUCAGGCACAUGUUCUCUUAUUCUCUGUUCCUAAGCAGAAAUCCAUCCUUUAGCACCCAAACAUGAGUCAAUACAAUGUAUAGAACAAGUCCUGAAACCCACUCAUAAAAACAAAAAAAAAUUACAGAAUCAGUCCAAAAUAUCCACAGCUCCCAUCCCUGUUAGAGAGGAUGCUGUUCAGAAUAAUAUCGUGCAACGGGCUAAAAAUAUUUCAAGUGAUGUGGCAGCAGCUCCACCAAUGAAAUAAUUCAGAGCAAGAUUCUCUAAAGUCCCAUUGGGGAUACCCUGUAACCAGUCUGACACUGGUGUAGUGGCUGCAGUACCCUACUCUAAGCAAGGGAGCUUGGGCUAUGCCUGCAAAAAAGAGAGAGAGAUCAGCUCUUUGGGGCCAGCCAGCUGCUGGUAUAAUUCCCUCUGGCAGAGGUCCUCUGACCACAGCCUAACCAGGGAGCCAUGCUUGCACUGGCACUGAGCCCACCCUGAGCUUGGCCAGCCAGGUACAUGCUUCUCCUGCCACUGCGCCUGUGGAGGAGUGAGAAGGAAAGCAUGCCAAGUCAUGACUCACGAAAGAAAAUAACUCAGUGAAUAUCAACAUUACGGAAGCCUCUGACAUUGGAAAAGUCUCAGGCAUGGCCAAGUUGAUUUAUCACACAAUACAGUUGUUUUAUAGCUUCUGUUUCACCCACUCACUAGAACCUGUGUGAAUUGACACCUCAUGGUUAGAAGUGUAUGCGUGUAUUUUCUUUUUCUCUUACGAUUCAGCUUGUUUGAGGAUCUUGUGAUUUUUCAGUUUUUUCUUCCUGCUCAAAAAUAUGUGUGUUUUUAACAUGGGCUAUAUAUUGCCCCUCGAAGAAACUAUCAUCACCUUGACUGCAGUCCCAUCCACAUUUAAAAAACAUUAAAUAAAACCAAACAAAAAAGCCAUGAAAUCACUGCUUCUCCUCCCUCAGCUUCCGUUUUCUGAAGAAACAUACUAUUUUUUUUCCUGCUGAAAACAAGGAAUGCAGGGGAUCUUAGUCACUGUCUUUGUUUUUUUUCCCAACCCAAACUGCCUCAGUCUAUUUGCUGAACUGCUUGGCAGAAACAGUUGCUCAAAAAUUAGACAAUCUGUAAAAGAAGAAAUUAUCCAUUCUUCUUGCUACCCUGAUGGGAUUCAGAACAUUCCCUGCUCUUCAGUGGGCUAUAUAUUUUUGCAUGGAAUAACAAAAAAGAAAAUAAAUAAAUAAAAAAGGAGGAAACUAAAGUGUUACUUGCCAGGUGUUAUUCAGCAAUGCUGAGCAAUCAAAUCAACUUGGAUUCCAAAAAGUGUAGAAGAAAUGACGACUGUGAAAGAGCCCUGAGCAUGUCAACUUGCCUCAUGUAUGGAGGAAAACAUUAAUGUCUGCCAAAAGGAGAAAUAUUUUUACAGCAAAGUAGCAGCAGUCCUCUGAGCCUUUUGCACUCCGUACUUCAAGAAAAUCAAUUUUCUUUGCAAAGUGGUCAAAACCACUCCUCCUCCCCUUGGACUUUUGUCUGUGGUGGAUUUAGCACUAUCUUUGUUCCUUGACUAGAAACCCCUGACUUCAAACGCCAGGCCACAGCAACCUUGAACAGCACUGAUGGACCAUAGCAAGCCUACAGCAAAAGACCUCUCUUCACAUUCCCCUGCCCUUUGGAAAUACCUCUCCUCAGCAAAGCUGGGUGCUUUUCAAGGGCUAAUUAAGGCUGCAACUCCCCUGCAAGGCAGAUGAAGGUCACAUGGGAAGAAGGACAACCUACUUGUUUUCUUGUUGCAAAUACCUCUUUGAAUAAAAUUCUUCUUUCUUUGAUUAUUUAUUUGCAGAAGUA